rnacentral:rRNA from 1 species
UACGUAGGUGGCAAGCGUUAUCCGGAUUUAUUGGGUUUAAAGGGUGCGUAGGCGGGUUAUCAAGUCAGCGGUAAAAUCGUGGAGCUCAACUCCAUCCAGCCGUUGAAACUGAUGAUCUUGAGUGGGCGAGAAGUAUGCGGAAUGCGUGGUGUAGCGGUGAAAUGCAUAGAUAUCACGCAGAACUCCGAUUGCGAAGGCAGCAUACCGGCGCCCGACUGACGCUGAAGCACGAAAGCGUGGGUAUCGAACAGG